ACCACUAGUUAACAAAAGGAUAUAAAUUCGGUGGUUAUAAGUGUACUUGUAGCGACCCUAUUUUUUUGCAGUCGUUAAAGUCGAUUUUUGGUUCAUCAGUAACAAAGGGAAAGUAUUUGGACCUUAAAAGUUACAAUAUCCGGUUGUUAAAAGCUGAAAUUUUAGGCACCAGUUUUUCCCCCUAUUUUUUCACGACCCUCUACCAAUCAUCCCCACCCCAGCACUCCCUUUUAGUGUCUCUACCAUCUGAGCUGACACACACAAUGGAGUAAAAAAUGGAGUUUCAAAGCAAGACUCAUUGCUUCACGGAGACCACCACUUCACUGUCAGCCUGUGUUACCUUUACUUCCCCGUUAUCUAUCCAUUGCUGCUUGUUGUGUUGGAAUUUUAAGAACGAAUUUCAGCAACACUCUGAGGAGUUUCGAGCCACUCAGCCAAGUAGCACGCCGAUGACCACGAGGUAAUACAACAAUAGUGGAUUGAGAAGGUUGCUCCCCCCACAAGGCAUGGGACAGUUUAUGGGAUGCCUAAUGGAGCCUUUCGUCGAUACCCGUCGGCCCUUGAAGUCGUAGGUGCUGAUGAUGAUGGGGCAGUUGAUCCUAAGGAGUAUGAAGCUAUGAAGCAUCAAGUUGACCUACUAACAAGAACACUUAAUUCCUCGGAGGCCAGGAUGUUGGGUAUGCAAGCCCAAAUUAACACCGAACGUUGACCUUUUUUAUUAGUGUGCUUUCGGAUUCUAAUUCGGCUAUGUUUAAAUGGAUAUGUAUAUUAUGUUUAAGAGUUUGAAUGUAGUUUUAAUUCGAAUUAGAAGUACUUUUAAUUUUAAGAUGUUUAAGUGUUUGAAUGGACAAUGUUUAAGUGUUCAAGUGUUUGAACAUUGUUUAUGGUUGUUGUGUUGCAUUGUUGAUGAAUUGGAUGACU